GUUAUAUGGUCAAGUGAAGAAGCGCAUACGGUGGAUGCCUUGGCAGUCAGAGGCGAUGAAAGACGUGGUAGCCUGCGAUAAGCUUCGGGGAGUCGGCAAACAGACUUUGAUCCGGAGAUCUCUGAAUGGGGGAACCCACUCAGCAUAAGCUGAGUAUCUUGUACUGAAUACAUAGGUGCAAGAGGCGAACCAGGGGAACUGAAACAUCUAAGUACCCUGAGGAAAAGAAAUCAACCGAGAUUCCCUUAGUAGUGGCGAGCGAACGGGGACUAGCCCUUAAGUGGCUUUGAGAUUAGCGGAACGCUCUGGAAAGUGCGGCCAUAGUGGGUGAUAGCCCUGUACGCGAAAAUCUCUUAGUCAUGAAAUCGAGUAGGACGGAGCACGAGAAACUUUGUCUGAAUAUGGGGGGACCAUCCUCCAAGGCUAAAUACUACUGACUGACCGAUAGUGAACCAGUACCGUGAGGGAAAGGCGAAAAGAACCCCGGAGAGGGGAGUGAAAUAGAACCUGAAACCGUAUGCGUACAAGCAGUGGGAGCCUACUUUGUUAGGUGACUGCGUACCUUUUGUAUAAUGGGUCAGCGACUUAUAUUCAGUGGCGAGCUUAACCGAAUAGGGGAGGCGUAGCGAAAGCGAGUCUUAAUAGGGCGUUUAGUCGCUGGGUAUAGACCCGAAACCGGGCGAUCUAUCCAUGGGCAGGUUGAAGGUUAGGUAACACUGACUGGAGGACCGAACCGACUACCGUUGAAAAGUUAGCGGAUGACCUGUGGAUCGGAGUGAAAGGCUAAUCAAGCUCGGAGAUAGCUGGUUCUCCUCGAAAGCUAUUUAGGUAGCGCCUCAUGUAUCACUGUAGGGGGUAGAGCACUGUUUCGGCUAGGGGGUCAUCCCGACUUACCAAACCGAUGCAAACUCCGAAUACCUACAAGUGCCGAGCAUGGGAGACACACGGCGGGUGCUAACGUCCGUCGUGAAAAGGGAAACAACCCAGACCGUCAGCUAAGGUCCCAAAGUUAUGGUUAAGUGGGAAACGAUGUGGGAAGGCUUAGACAGCUAGGAGGUUGGCUUAGAAGCAGCCACCCUUUAAAGAAAGCGUAAUAGCUCACUAGUCGAGUCGGCCUGCGCGGAAGAUGUAACGGGGCUCAAACCAUACACCGAAGCUACGGGUAUCACUUAGGUGAUGCGGUAGAGGAGCGUUCUGUAAGCCUGUGAAGGUGAGUUGAGAAGCUUGCUGGAGGUAUCAGAAGUGCGAAUGCUGACAUGAGUAACGACAAUGGGAGUGAAAAACUCCCACGCCGAAAGACCAAGGUUUCCUGCGCAACGUUAAUCGACGCAGGGUUAGUCGGUCCCUAAGGCGAGGCUGAAAAGCGUAGUCGAUGGAAAACAGGUUAAUAUUCCUGUACUUCUAGUUAUUGCGAUGGAGGGACGGAGAAGGCUAGGCCAGCUUGGCGUUGGUUGUCCAAGUUUAAGGUGGUAGGCUGAGAUCUUAGGUAAAUCCGGGAUCUUAAGGCCGAGAGCUGAUGACGAGUUGCCAUUAGGCGACGAAGUGGUUGAUGCCAUGCUUCCAAGAAAAGCUUCUAAGCUUCAGAUAACUAGGAACCGUACCCCAAACCGACACAGGUGGUUGGGUAGAGAAUACCAAGGCGCUUGAGAGAACUCGGGUGAAGGAACUAGGCAAAAUGGCACCGUAACUUCGGGAGAAGGUGCGCCGGUGAGGGUGAAGGACUUGCUCCGUAAGCCCAUGCCGGUCGAAGAUACCAGGCCGCUGCGACUGUUUAUUAAAAACACAGCACUCUGCAAACACGAAAGUGGACGUAUAGGGUGUGACGCCUGCCCGGUGCCGGAAGGUUAAUUGAUGGGGUUAGCUAACGCGAAGCUCUUGAUCGAAGCCCCGGUAAACGGCGGCCGUAACUAUAACGGUCCUAAGGUAGCGAAAUUCCUUGUCGGGUAAGUUCCGACCUGCACGAAUGGCGUAACGAUGGCGGCGCUGUCUCCACCCGAGACUCAGUGAAAUUGAAAUCGCUGUGAAGAUGCAGUGUAUCCGCGGCUAGACGGAAAGACCCCGUGAACCUUUACUAUAGCUUUGCACUGGACUUUGAAUUUGCUUGUGUAGGAUAGGUGGGAGGCUUUGAAGCGUGGACGCCAGUUCGCGUGGAGCCAUCCUUGAAAUACCACCCUGGCAACUUUGAGGUUCUAACUCAGGUCCGUUAUCCGGAUCGAGGACAGUGUAUGGUGGGUAGUUUGACUGGGGCGGUCUCCUCCUAAAGAGUAACGGAGGAGUACGAAGGUGCGCUCAGACCGGUCGGAAAUCGGUCGUAGAGUAUAAAGGCAAAAGCGCGCUUGACUGCGAGACAGACACGUCGAGCAGGUACGAAAGUAGGUCUUAGUGAUCCGGUGGUUCUGUAUGGAAGGGCCAUCGCUCAACGGAUAAAAGGUACUCCGGGGAUAACAGGCUGAUACCGCCCAAGAGUUCAUAUCGACGGCGGUGUUUGGCACCUCGAUGUCGGCUCAUCACAUCCUGGGGCUGAAGCCGGUCCCAAGGGUAUGGCUGUUCGCCAUUUAAAGUGGUACGCGAGCUGGGUUUAGAACGUCGUGAGACAGUUCGGUCCCUAUCUGCCGUGGACGUUUGAGAUUUGAGAGGGGCUGCUCCUAGUACGAGAGGACCGGAGUGGACGAACCUCUGGUGUUCCGGUUGUCACGCCAGUGGCAUUGCCGGGUAGCUAUGUUCGGAAGAGAUAACCGCUGAAAGCAUCUAAGCGGGAAACUUGCCUCAAGAUGAGAUCUCACUGGAGCCUUGAGCUCCCUGAAGGGCCGUCGAAGACUACGACGUUGAUAGGUUGGGUGUGUAAGCGCUGUGAGGCGUUGAGCUAACCAAUACUAAUUGCCCGUGAGGCUUGACCAUAUAACACCCAAGCAAUU
rnacentral:rRNA from 1 species